ensembl:lncRNA
GAAAACCUCUGGACACAUUCAGAAUCUUUUGCUGGUAGCAGAUGUCUCUCUUAAACAUUACUUUGUGACUGAGAAAGAAGAGGAAACCAGACAUGUUCCCUGAAAUAUCUCAGGAUUCUAAAGUUAAAUGCAAUCACUCAGUAAAGAAAUAGUUUCUACAGUGACUUCAAGUAUGCCAGAGUAAAUUAGGAAAACGUACAGAUAUUCUUUUUAUAUGUGUCUUUUGACAACUGAAGAUUAUUUAAACUGUUAACUGUGAAGACAUAUGUUGUCUCAUAUACCAGGAAUAUCAGCUAUACUGAAGUGCUAAACUUUUCAAAGACAGCACCCUGGGACAACCGGAUUUUCCUAUGUCUGGCUCAAGCUUUACUGAGUUAUACUGGUCUAAGCACACCUUGAUUUAUCCAACUUGCCCACUAAACUGGAGCUCUACAUUCCCUCUGUACAGCAUAGCCAUACCAAAGCAAGCUGAAUGCAGAUGACUGAGACCUGCUCUCUCAAGCACUCUGCUCCUCCCUGGUCCUGGGGAAAAAUUAUGCUUUUUAUUUAAUGAACGAAGAAAUUCAGAGAGAAACAAAGCAAUAUUGGCACCUGAUAGUAUUCAUAAUUUGAUAUCAUCUUUAAUAUCAUAAACUGGAUCUUUUUACAUAAAAUUGAGGGGUCCUAUGUAAACUGUGUGUUUAUAAGAAUAAUAAUCUUUUAAAAUAAAAUUUGAAUUAUCAC